UUGCCUACUGAGAAUAGGAAUCAGUUGAGUUAAGCAAGGCAACAGGAAUUUACUGUGACAGGAUGGGGUGCCCUUCUCAUCCUUGUUCCAGGACUCUCAGGAGUGACCCCUUCAGCUGCUAGUAUUCACCACUUCAGAUGCUGACCUGGAGAACCUAAUUAGUUAUCUUAGAACAAAACCAUGUCCCUAGCCCCAUCACCUCUAGUCCAGGUUUCUUAGUGCUACCUCCAGCCAUGAUGACUUUCAAAGAGCAAGAACUAGGGCGACCCCAUGACCUCCCCAUGUGAACCCUGUGUGUGCCGCUCUUGGUGUAUAUGGUACCUCUUCUGUCAUUUGUUCUCCAGGCCCUCAGCAUCCUCCUGCUCCCUCAGAACAUCCCACCUAGCCUGAGCUUGCUCACCAGCAUGGUGGAUGACAUGUGGCAUUACGCUGGGGACCAGUCCACUGAUUUUAACUGGUACACCCGCCGCGCAGUGCUGGCCGGCAUCUACAACACAACAGAGUUCUGGUGCCUUUUGCAUUGCAGCUGUGUGUUUGAAAAAUGAGACUCACAUCCAAGGUUUCAAACCACAGAAACUUGGCAUGACUCUGCCAUGGUGUCACGGGCAUCUUGAUCAUGUCUUGACCUUAGAACUGUUCUCUAGGAGUGGGGCAUAGUGACGUAUACCUGUAUUCUCAGUACGCAGAAGACUGGAGAGCAGGAUUGAGAGUUCAGAGGCAGGCUUGUCUAUGUAGAGAAUUACAAGCCUGCUUGAGCCACAGAGUGUGAUCCUGUCGAUCAAAAUCCCCUGAGAAAUAUUCUUAGGGGCUCACAACCAAGGUCCAAAGGCAACACAUAGUGGGGGCUCUUCCCCAGCACAGGGCAGACAGUGUGCUCACAGAGGUAUUUGCCAUUGGCCACUGCUCCUCUGGAUCCCCUCAGAAAGCUGCCUCCCCUAGACAGGUGCCUUUUGGAUGGUCAUGCUGAACCUGGCAUCACAGACACCAGUGUGCAUUGCAGGAUCAUUAGUACAUUUAGAGUCUGU
rnacentral:lncRNA from 1 species